UACGUAGGGGGCGAGCGUUGUCCGGAAUCAUUGGGCGUAAAGAGCUCGUAGGCGGUUUGUCGCGUCUGCUGUGAAAACCUAAGGCUCAACCUUGGGCUUGCAGUGGGUACGGGCAGACUAGAGUGCGGUAGGGGUGACUGGAAUUCCUGGUGUAGCGGUGGAAUGCGCAGAUAUCAGGAGGAACACCAAUGGCGAAGGCAGCUCGCUGGGACGGUACUGACGCU
rnacentral:rRNA from 1 species